rnacentral:rRNA from 1 species
UACAGAGGGUGCGAGCGUUAAUCGGAAUUACUGGGCGUAAAGAGCGCGCAGGCGGUCGAUCAAGUCGAGUGUGAAAGCCCCCGGCUCAACUGGGGAGGGUCAUUCGAUACUGAUCGACUCGAAGGCAGGAGAGGGUAGUGGAAUUCCCGGUGUAGUGGUGAAAUGCGUAGAUAUCGGGAGGAACACCAGUGGCGAAGGCGACUACCUGGCCUGUUCUUGACGCUGAGGCGCGAAAGCUAGGGGAGCAAACGGG